rnacentral:rRNA from 1 species
GACGAACGCUGGCGGCGUGCCUAAUACAUGCAAGUAGAACGCACAGUUUAUACCGUAGCUUGCUACACCAUAGACUGCGAGUUGCGAACGGGUGAGUAACGCGUAGGUAACCUGCCUGGUAGCGGGGGAUAACUAUUGGAAACGAUAGCUAAUACCGCAUAAUAUUAAUUAUUGCAUGAUAAUUAAUUGAAAGGUGCAAUUGCACCACUACCAGAUGGACCUGCGUUGUAUUAGCUAGUAGGUGAGGUAACGGCUCACCUAGGCGACGAUACAUAGCCGACCUGAGAGGGUGAUCGGCCACACUGGGACUGAGACACGGCCCAGACUCCUACGGGAGGCAGCAGUAGGGAAUCUUCGGCAAUGGACGAAAGUCUGACCGAGCAACGCCGCGUGAGUGAAGAAGGUUUUCGGAUCGUAAAGCUCUGUUGUAAGAGAAGAACGGGGGUGAGAGUGGAAAGUUCACACUGUGACGGUAUCUUACCAGAAAGGGACGGCUAACUACGUG